rnacentral:lncRNA from 1 species
CAAAACUUUCCAAUUAGAAGAACCAUUGUCAUGAGAUCCAAAGUGAGAGAUACAAAAGCCAUUGGAAGAUUCCUAGGAGCUUGAUUUGUGUGCUUGAUUGCUUGAGUUAUUUGCUUAUUGCUUGCUAAUUCCAAAGGAAAGGGAACAACUUGGAUCAUCACUAUGAUCUCAAUAAGAGAACUCCAUUGUGGUUUUACUUCUCUUCCUUCAUCUUUGUAUGUUUAGGACUUAG